GCAUCUACACAUGCAGUCGACGAUGAAGCCCUUCGGGGUGGAUUAGUGGCGAACGGGUGAGUAACACGUGGGCAAUCUGCCCUUCACUCUGGGACAAGCCCUGGAAACGGGGUCUAAUACCGGAUAACACUCUGUCCCGCAUGGGACGGGGUUAAAAGCUCCGGCGGUGAAGGAUGAGCCCGCGGCCUAUCAGCUUGUUGGUGGGGUGAUGGCCUACCAAGGCGACGACGGGUAGCCGGCCUGAGAGGGCGACCGGCCACACUGGGACUGAGACACGGCCCAGACUCCUACGGGAGGCAGCAGUGGGGAAUAUUGCACAAUGGGCGAAAGCCUGAUGCAGCGACGCCGCGUGAGGGAUGACGGCCUUCGGGUUGUAAACCUCUUUCAGCAGGGAAGAAGC
rnacentral:rRNA from 1 species